AUUGAACGCUGGCGGCAUGCCUUACACAUGCAAGUCGAACGGCAGCACGGGAGCAAUCCUGGUGGCGAGUGGCGAACGGGUGAGUAAUAUAUCGGAACGUGCCCAGUAGUGGGGGAUAACUGCUCGAAAGAGCAGCUAAUACCGCAUACGACCUGAGGGUGAAAGGGGGGGAUCGCAAGACCUCUCGCUAUUGGAGCGGCCGAUAUCAGAUUAGCUAGUUGGUGGGGUAAAGGCCUACCAAGGCAACGAUCUGUAGUUGGUCUGAGAGGACGACCAGCCACACUGGGACUGAGACACGGCCCAGCCUCCUACGGGAGGCAGCAGUGGGGAAUUUUGGACAAUGGGCGCAAGCCUGAUCCAGCAAUGCCGCGUGCAGGAAGAAGGCCUUCGGGUUGUAAACUGCUUUUAUCAGGGAAGAAAUCCUCUAGGUUAAUACCCUUGGGGGGAUGACGGUACCUGAAGAAUAAGCACCGGCUAACUACGUGCCAGCCGCCGCAGUAAAAC
rnacentral:rRNA from 1 species